UUUUUCAGCUUUUGUUGAACCCCAUUUUUCAGAUGCAGUUCUCCAUCAAAAUUUUAUCUCAAAAAUGAGGUUAUCGGAGUAAAAAGGGAUUUUUCAGGGUGGUUGACCAUCUCCGUCUGUUACUGCUUUUACAGGAAAAGCAGCUGCAAAAGCAUAGAAAAAUGGAGGUUCAGCCCAGUAUGAAGAAUGAGGCCAACAGAGAAAAAGGGAAUUCUUUGAGGGUGCCUCUGCUUGGCCUAUGAUUUCCCCAUAAACAAAAUUAACAACCCUCUUUAGAAGUACUAGUACCGUUUAUUGUUUUCUCUAAAUUCUUUGAGGGUAGUUGCCCUCUCUAAUUGACCUAUGAUUUCUCUGACCAACCAAACCAACAAUCCUCCGUUGGUAUAUGUUUCUAUUGAUGAUUUGUUGAUAGCAGCAGUAGUAAUACUCCCUCUCUUCUAAUUCACUUGUCUUGAACCUGUUCACUAGUGAUAUGGAAAAGAAUCCAUCUUUCGAAGGAGGCAGUGAUAAUAUUGCCAAUUCUGGGCAAGGAGAAAAUUCGACUCGUAUCUUGGUGGGGCAAACCCAGAUUAUGUAACUGGUUGAUUUUGCAGCCACGGUGUUGUCAUCUUCUCUUUGCCCCAUUUUACACUGAUCUGAGCCUCAACAUCCAAUGAGUUCCAGGAUCCAAACCCCGAAAUUCAUUUGAUGGAAACCUUGUUCAUUUUAGCUCUAAAGGACAAACCAAUCGGAGCAAAAUGGGCAUUUUACAGGGUGGUCGACCAUCUCUGGUAUGUCAAUGAUUUCUUUGCUCUAAUCAACAAUUCUUUUAGCUUUUGUAUGUGGAUGAAGUGCACAAAUAGCCGCUUUUAGACCAUUUCCAAUGUCAUUGGAUGUUGUAAUUUCCUGUAUUUUAGGACCCUGUUUAGAGAAUAGCUGAAGUUUACAAAGUUGCAGGGACUUACAGUUUACAGAGUAAUGGAAGCUUAGCCCAGUAUGAAGAAUGAGGCCAACAGGGAAAGGGAAAUUUUUUUGGAGGGUGGUUGUCCUCUCUGGUUGACCUAUGAUUUCUUGUUCAACCAAAUCAACAACCCUCAUUGGUAUAUUUGUGAAACUUCCCAAAAAUAAAUAAAUAAAUCUGUUGCCAUUGAUGUAAUGUUGCUAGCAGUAGUAGUAAUGUCAUACUCUCUCCAUUUCAAUCUACUAGUCUGGAAAACUGUCCACAAAUUGGUAUAGAAAAGGUUCCAUCUUUCUCAAAGAGGCAGUGAUGAUAUUGCUAAUUCCGCGCUGAAAAUCGGGGCAUGGAGAAAACCCGACUCGUAUCUUGGCAGGGCAAACCCAAAUCACGUAACCCGUUCAUUUUGCAUCCAUGGCGUUGUCGUCUUCUCUUUACCCCUUUUUUGCACAAAUCUGAACCUCAACUUCCAAUGAGUCACUUCGAGUACGCCGGGAUCGAAACCCAGAAUCUCAUUUGAUGGAAACCCUGGUCCCUGUUCAUUUUAGCUCGAAAACAUGAGGCAGUCAGAGAAAAAAUGUGGAUUUUUUCAGGGUGUUAGACCAUCUCUGGUACGUCAAUGAUUUUUUCUUUGCUCUAAUAAACAACCCUUUUAGCUUUGUUUGUGGACGAAGUGCAGAAAUUGCUGUUUUAGACCAGUUCCAAGUUCAUUGGGUGUAAUUUCCUGGAUUUACACUGUAAUGGAAGCUCAGCCCAGUGUGAAGAAUGAGACCAACAGUGAGAAAAAGGGAAUUUCUUUGGAGGGUGGUUGCCCCCUCUGAUUGGUCUAUGAUUUCUCCUUUAACCAAACAAACAACCCUCUGGAAAAGUAGAAACAACCAACAAUAUUUGUUGUCAUUGCCUUCAAUGGUGGUAAUAUGAUGCUGAUGUAAGUAAUAACAUUCAAUUUUCUGAUCAUUCCGAGAUAGCUUAGACCAAAUGCUUUUGGUAUGAAAUACUCAGAGAUCUGAAGGUCUCAUUUGUUUCAUUAAUAUUUCUUGUUAAAGUUAUUCAAACGGGCUCUUAUGGAAAAGUUUCCAUAUUUUCUGAAAGAGGCAGUGAUGAUAUUGCUUAUCUGGGCUGCUGUUUGGGGCAUGGAGACUAUUUGACCCGUAUCUUGGCAUGGCAAACCUGGAUGGCUUGUGAUCGAGUCUUCUCUUUCACAUGCAACUGGUUCUUUUGCAGCCAUGGCGUUGUCGCCUUCUCUUUGCCCCAUUUUUUGCUAGUCUGAGCCUCAAUUUCCAACUAGUCCAACUGGACGUCCCAGGACUCGAAGAGUUUGGAACCUAAAUGAUGAAAAAAUCUCUGCAUGCACGCACACACAUAUCAUGAGAAAAUGUCCAAAAUAGUCCCUUAUUGAGGCAGUGAUGAUCUUUCAGUCUAUCCUCUUGAGCUAGUAAUUGAGCAUUGAGGGUACCCGAUGGCAACCUGGCGUGGCAAUUACCCGGAUGCCUGUGAUUUUGUUGCAUGCAACUUGGGGAUAUUUGCAGCCAUGACAUGGCAGGACUUUCUUUACCUGAUCAUGAAUAGAAGAACUGAGCCUCAAUUGUCACAUUCAUCUUACUCUGGAUGUUUUAGUAUGGAGGAAAAUAUUUUAGUGAAGCCGCCCUAAAGUGGCUAAAUGGUGUCAUUUCUACAACGAAGACCUUUGACAUGAGGACCAUAAUGAGGCUGUGAUGAUUUUUUGUCUUUACUCAUCAGAUGGUUGAGCCUUGCUAUAUCUUGGCAUGGCAGUUUUGUUGGGGUAUUGUGAGAUAGUGGAGCUAUUUUUGUUUCUGUGUCUCACAAAGCAUCCUUAAGCUUGCAGCCAUAGUGGGGUUUAGCUUAUGUAUGAGAAAAGGCGAAUCUGAGCCUC